rnacentral:rRNA from 1 species
CCUACGGGUGGCUGCAGUAGGGAAUAUUGGGCAAUGGAUGCAAGUCUGACCCAGCCAUGCCGCGUGGAGGAAGAAGGUCCUCUGGAUUGUAAACUCCUUUUUUGGGGGAAGAAGAGACACCUUGCGAGGUGUUGUGACGGUACCCUAAGAAUAAGCCACGGCUAACUACGUGCCAGCAGCCGCGGUAAUACGUAGGUGGCAAGCGUUGUCCGGAUUUAUUGGGUUUAAAGGGUGCGUAGGUGGUUUAAUAAGUCAGUGGUGAAAGCUGGUUGCUC